AAGUCGUAACAAGGUUUCCGUAGGUGAACCUGCGGAAGGAUCAUUAACACUUUUUAAAGCAUCCAAUAUCAACAAAUCACAACCAAACGGUCAACUAUCUCCUCCCUAUUUCGCACACCGGAGACGGUACGAGUAGGCUAACAUGUAAAUAACAAGCUCCAAGCUCAAGCAAUUGCGCAUGCGCAUGUUAUUUUCAAACACAAGAUAACCCCUUUUAAUUAUAUUAUUCAUUUAAUAUAAACGAACAACUCUUCGAAUUUGCCCUUCAUUUUCACAAUGAAGAACAAAAACGAACUAAACUAAAAUAUACAUUCGAUAUAUUUUUAUUUUACGAAAUAAUAUAUAUUUAUAAGAACAACUCUUAGCAAUGGAUAUCUUGGUUCUC
rnacentral:misc_RNA from 1 species